GACGAACGCUGGCGGCGUGCUUAACACAUGCAAGUCGAACGGAAAGGCCCUGCUUUUGUGGGGUGCUCGAGUGGCGAACGGGUGAGUAACACGUGAGUAACCUGCCCUUGACUUUGGGAUAACUUCAGGAAACUGGGGCUAAUAUCGGAUAGGAGCUCCUGCUGCAUGGAGGGGGUUGGAAAGUUUCGGCGGGUGGGGAUGGACUCGCGGCUGAUCAGCUUGUUGGUGGGGUAGUGGCUGACCAAGGCUUUGACGGGUAGCCGGCCUGUGAGGGUGACCGGCCACAUUGGUACUGAGGUACGGCCCAGACUCCUACGGGAGGCAGCAGUGGGGAAUAUUGCACAAUGGGCGGAAGCCUGAUGCAGCAACGCCGCGUGCGGGAUGACGGCCUUCUGGUUGUAAACCGCUUUCGCCUGUGACGAAGCGUGAGUGACGGUAAUGGGUAAAGAAGCACCGGCUAACUACGUG
rnacentral:rRNA from 1 species